UACGGAGGGUGCAAGCGUUAAUCGGAAUUACUGGGCGUAAAGGGUGCGUAGGCGGCGCGGUAAGUCGGGUGUGAAAUCUCGGAGCUUAACUCCGAAACUGCAUUCGAUACUGCCGUGCUUGAGGACUGGAGAGGAGACUGGAAUUUACGGUGUAGCGGUGAAAUGCGUAGAUAUCGUAAGGAAGACCAGUGGCGAAGGCGGGUCUCUGGACAGUUCCUGACGCUGAGGCACGAAGGCCAGGGGAGCAAACGGG
rnacentral:rRNA from 1 species